ensembl:misc_RNA Metazoa_SRP Metazoan signal recognition particle RNA
GCCGGGCGUGGUGAUGCACACCUGUAAUCCCAGCUACUUAGGAGGCUGAGGCGGGAGGAUCACUUGAGCCUGGGAGGCAGAGGUUGCAGUAAGCUGUGAUCACGCCACUGCAUUCCAGCCUAGGUGACAGAGUGAGACCCUGUCUCCA